ensembl:lncRNA
AAGGUAACGACUACAGUAAUAGUCCUGAGUACUGAGCCACGCCCAGGCCAGCCUCUUCAGGCAGUCCAUGGCAGACAGCACUAGUACUUGAAAUGAUUUCUACUUUGGGACCCAAAUGUUCACAGGCAUGGUGAGGCAUAUUUGCAUGCUAACAUGCUUAUACUUAUGAUAACACAUUGCUACGCAGCAAGAUAUGUUGGCAAACAAUUGUAUCAGCAGGCUAAUUGGCAAAUAAUUAGCCUGCUAAUAGUUUCUAAUUGAAUAUAAAAACAAUGAAUACAGCAGAGGCGUAUGUGUUUCGUUAGCUUUUUUUGGUUCUGCUUCACAGUAAUGGGCAAAAUCUGACCUGGAAAAAUAAACACGGUUUAGCUUAAAAAGCUUUCUAACCCAACUUGUAGAUCAGCGGUCUCCAACCCCCGGGCCGUUUGGUAAAGUUGAGGCUCGGGUGUGAAAUUUAUGGUUUUCAGGGUUUUUAUCGUUUUUUAUUGUUGUUUUUUUUUUAUCGUUAACUCGGUUUCCCUGGGUCUUUUCCCGUGUGUUAUGAAUAUAUCUUCUUUUUUUGGUACCGAUACUGAUUUUAUUUUGUUGUAUUUAUCUGCAACACUUUGAAGGCCAGUCUAUGAAAAUAUUGUGGGACAUAAACUGGUCCGUGGUGCAAAAAAGGUUUGGGACCGCUGUUGUAGAUCUUAUUUUACUAGAUGAGUGAAAACUGUGACAAGUAAGACAUAAAAUACUGGUUAACAUGCAUAUGUGUAAGAGUUAAUGGUAUACUAUUCAACAGCUACUGAAAAAAAGGCAAAAAACCCACCCAAAACAAAAUCACUGUCCAAAUCACUGCAGUAAUGAAAAUCUUUUGAGAUUGCGCUUACAACCAAAGCUUUGUGUCAUUGUCUGGACAUCUGCCGGCCAAUCAGUCCUAAUGAGCAUGGAUGGCUUACCUGGACUUUUGAGCAAAGGCUUGGUCACUAUACAUUUAUCAUUUAAAAGAAAACAAGUCAGAUGAAUCAGAUUCUAGCAGUAAUUAAACACUAGUGAUCCAAUAAUGUGGGUCAGUCUGACAUUUCACUAGCAUGCCAACAU